rnacentral:lncRNA from 1 species
ACUCGAGCCCGGGGUAAGGAGACCCAAGCGACGGGCACAGCCCCGCCUCUUCCCAACCACCGGGCUGCUGCGCCCCUGCGUGCCCUCCCUCCUGUCGCACUCCAGUCCCACCGGAAGGGACGGGACCCCGUGGCGCCCGGCCAGCAGUACCCCCCUGAGGGCCUAGGAGGCAAGAGGAGAUGAAGGAAAGGCUGAAGAACUGGGUGUGCCCCAGAGGAUUUCACAGGACAGUGUCUUCUUGCGGGAUACACACUAGGAGCUAAACAUCUGUUGCCUGUACGAGAAUGAUAACUAGUCCACGAACAGCUUCCUGAUGCAUCCUGGGAGGUCUUGGCAGAGCCAUUCAGGGUCACCGUGUUAUCCAGAAAUGGCAGCCACUGGCUACGCGUGACGGGUCAAAUGUACAUGUAAGUACCAAUGAAUGAAAUAAAGACGACGUUCCUGGUUCAUCCGGGCCACAUCUGGA